UACGUAGGGUGCAAGCGUUGUCCGGAAUUAUUGGGCGUAAAGAGCUCGUAGGCGGUCUGUCGCGUCGGCUGUGAAAUCCCGGAGCUCAACUCCGGGUCUGCAGUCGAUACGGGCAAACUGGAGUACUGCAGGGGAGACUGGAAUUCCUGGUGUAGCGGUGAAAUGCGCAGAUAUCAGGAGGAACACCUGUGGCGAAAGCGGCUCACUGGACCACAACUGACGCUGAGGCGCGAAAGCUAGGGGAGCAAACAGG
rnacentral:rRNA from 1 species